CUCAGAGCACGAAGAGAGCCUGUAGCUCUGAGCCUGAAACUCAGAGCAAGAAGCUCAAACCUGACCUCAAGACUCCAGCGUUUAAGUCUCAGACCGUCCCUGCAGACGAGCUCUGCGACCAGCCCUCCGGACUCUCCACACCUGCAGCACCUGUGAAGCGCAACAUCACCUUCAAGCUCAUGAGACGCUUCUAAAGGACCCGACCUGCAGGAGAACUACAAUCUUCACCCUCCUGCCUCUUGUGGUGGCUGUAAGCUGGGCUGCAUAUGGGUGGGUUGGUGGGACACACCUUUUCACAGCACACUGACAAAAAAGCUGUGAAAAGGUGUGCUGGGGCCUGAAGUCCGGCCUCUGGUUUAUUCUCGGUGUGAGUGGCCUCACUUUGGCUACCAGCAUAGAGAGUAUAGCUGGAUGUGACGCCUGGCUUCAGGUGCCUAAAGGGCCCUGCAGGGUUCAACUCACAGCCAAAGCUGAAGGUUCCUGUCAGAGCCUGAAGGCUAUGAGGAGAACCUGC